rnacentral:lncRNA from 1 species
AGAAAGUAGGUGUCACACAUAUUUUGGAAAUUGUAUACAUGAUUAGAAACAUUAUUCUAUAUAUUAUGCCAUAGGUGCUACUAGAUGAUCUUGAAACUAAGAGUGAGGUGCUUGUCCCUAACUUCAUAACGAGAAUAGUUAAAUACAUAGCUUUCAUGGCAUCCAUACCCACCUGCAAAUAUAAUGGUAUGCAUGACCAUACAAAUUGUAGUGAUUUGUGAGGGUUUUUCUUCGUGCCAACUUGGGCUAGUUCACAAUAAAAGCAAAAUGAUCUUGUAACUCUUUUUCCCAUCCUUCCUAGCUCUAGUCAAAAAAGCUUUGACAAACCUAUAAGACUAUUCUAGUACUCUAUGCAAUCAAGAUAAAUUCAUCCUGGAAUCUACUUGUACUCCAUAAGUUAGCAUUAUAAAUGCUAUUGUAACUUUAUGCAACGGAGAUAAUCCAAGACAUCAUACUAAACCUGCAGAAAAAAAGAAAACUGGUCAUAGCUAAGAGGGUCGACAAAAAGAACGGACAAAAUCAUAAAUUUAUAAAUUGCAAACCUAUAGCAAAAUAUUGUCACACCAUAGGUAGAAGCAUUGAAGAAAUUGGUACUAAAUUUCUUGACUUCUGUGUCACAAUGAAUUACUUGUUGCCAUGACAAAACAAUGUUGGCGUUGAGCAUUCCUAUGACAAAACUAUGUUGGUGUUGAGCAUUCCUAAGCUCAUAUUGUUUGUCUGUCUUGUGGAAGUUGCGAACCAGCUGGUCAUUGUUUCGAUUGUGGGAUCACGAUCACACACUCCUCAUAUUUCGAUGACUCAUUUCUAUAAAUAUGAUACAUAUAGUGCAUUAAAGUAAUUUUUUAUUAACAUGAACCACCCUCAACUUUAUCUCACAUCUGUUAAGCUUGAUGCACUAGCCAACACAACCAAAAGUCCGAACUCAUGAAAAGGGUUAGGCAAUCCACAUAUACACUUCUACACUCUCUCUCACGUGUGACUUCCCGCGUCACACGUGAAUAGAAUAAGAUGUAUGGUUCAAGAGGCCUAUACGUGGUCAAAGGGAGCAGCAACAAAUUUUUGAUGAAUUGCAAAAUCCAUGACUUGAACUCAAGACUUUGGUCUUUGAUAACAUGUUAAACUUCAUGCACUAGCUAACGCAACCAAAAGUCCAAACUGAUGAAAAGGACUAGGCAAUUCACAUAUACACUUCAACAACAUCAACCACUUUCAAAUUUCACUUGGUCACCCAUUGUACAACAUGUCCCAUCUCACCUGAAAAUGGACCACCUGCACCGCCUUUCUCUCUCACAACCAUCAUCGCCCUAGCUCAACAUCUCUCUCUCGCUUAAAAUUACUUGCUACCCCUUAAUCAUUUUCUCUUACCACCAUGGUCCAUUUUUUCCUUAUAUUAUUGCUAAUAAAAUCGCUCUAGUUCCAUCCAAUGACUAUCUUCACUGUCGCACCACUCCAAUCUCAUCCCAGCCUCAUCUUCUAUCCUACACCAUACCCCAAAUCUAGUGACGAACCCGCUACCUCAUCCUUGGCCUUGCAUCGUUGGGCUUAGCUUAUUGAGGGAGGCAACUUUUUUGCCAAUGCUAUCACCACCCUCCAUUUGCCCCUCCCACUCCUUUAUCUCUCUGCAAGGAGAUCUAGAUGCGAUGUUGAAAAAGAGCAUGACUUUUCCAUUUUAGAACCUAUUUGGGUGUGGCUUGUUUUGUUUGAUUAUUGAGAAGUUAAUGAAAUGAAUUGGGAGAGUUAUAUCCACCUUCCAAACUCUGAAUCAAAAGAGGGGAGGUGAAUCAACUACAAAGUGGAUUAACUCGAUCUUUAUACCGUCUCCAAGUGACAACUAACCGUAAUCCAAUGAGCAACUCAUCAUUCCCCUCUAAAUCACAUCCAAAGGCACUUGGGGGUUGUGUCAGAGCAUCUCCACCGUCCAUUUGCUCCUUAAAGGAGGAACAAGGAGGAAAAAUUAAGAUGGGAGGUUUACAUACACGUUGUGCAUGACCAUAUGGUCGGGGCCACACCGUCCUCUCCUCACACACCGUCUUCUCCUCUUUGCUAGGUCGCCUUCUCGUGACGUUCCACCUUUUGAUGAUCCAUCUUCUAUUGAUGAGUUUUCUUCCUUGACCGCUUCACCAUCCAUUGGCGCUGAUGCACAACCACCUCUUGCCCUUGGUCUCCACGCCUGCUUGCUUUUGGUUGUCGAUUGCUACGUUUUUUCUGGCGCCGCUCUUCUCGAGCCGACUUCUUAUUGUGAUGUAGUUCAUCCCGAAUUGAAGCAUGUUAUGGUAGAGGAGAUUCCUGACUGAAUUCACUUGAAUGUGGGAUCUUUUUCCCUUCCUUCUCGUGUUCCUCCCAGUACCGUGAGCAGGUCUACAAGGUUAAGUAUUGCUCUCGUGGUUCUCUUGAGCUCUACAAGGCUCAUUUUAUGACUCGUGGUUUUCAACUGGUUCAUGUUGUGACUACAAUGAGACAUUUGGUCAUGUGAUUCACAUGACCACUCCUUUUUCACCCUUUUUGUUGGGGCUUAUGUUUGCCUCUAGUCUAUCUCUCAACUUGAUGUCAAUCUUUCUUAACGUUGAGUUGCGUGAGUAGGUAUGCAUGCAUCCACCACCUAGGUAUUUCUUGAUGGUAUGGUGUGAUGUCUUUGUCGCUCUAUAUAUGGCCUUAAGCAAGUUCCUCGUGCCUGGUUUUAGCGCUUCUUCUUAGCGGUCACUUCUACUGGUUUUGGAAAGAGUGAUCAUGAUCUUCCGCACUUUUCCACCUUUCAUCUUGUGGUUGGGAUCUUGAUCAUCAUUGGUGAUGACUCUGAGUAUAUUACCUUUGUGAACGCAUGUUUAUGUAUCAAUGAUUUUCUUGGUCGUAAUGCUCUUCCUAAUGAGUGUGCUAUUGAGAUUGCGUGGAGUUGAAUGUUCACCUACAUGCUUAUGAUGGUGAGCAUUUGUUUGAUCCGACAUGCCAUCAUCAUAUUAUUGGAAGUCUUGUCUAUCUUGUUGUCACCUCAUCCAGAUAUCUCAUCAUGCACCACUCCCUCUCUCUCUCUCUCAUGGAAAUACAACUUGCAUACUCCUACCAGUUUCAUCACACCAUGAUGUUGGACACUUGUGCAAUGCCUCUCAUUAUAUAAGAAGCACCAUUACAAGAGAAAAAUGCAUUGGAGCUUACUAAUGAUUUCCACCUUGUCAGAUUCCCCCCUCAAUAUUGGAUUAACAUGUCCACCUUCUUUGAUUCACCCGCCAACAUCCCCGUUCUACAAGCGGUUUUGUGCAUAUUUGCCACACUUGUAUGCUUAUAUAUACUGCAUUCGUCCCAUGGAAAUACAAUUUGCAUACUCCUACUAGUUUCAUCACACCAUGAUGUUGCACACUUUUCAUUACAACAGAAAAUUGCAUUAGAACUUACUAACUAUUUGCACCUUAUCAGAACCCUCAAUAUUUCUGUUAGUCUAACAGUGCAAGGAGUAAUGUGACUAUGAUAGAAAAGUUGUGAGCGGCCUGAAUGAGACAAAAAAAGUUAAGGGAGCUAAAUGAAAAAGCAGUGAUAGUUUAGAGUUUAAGGGCAAUUUCUCCUACUACAGCUAUGCAUUGGAAAGAAACCUAAAGAUUCAAGCGUAAAAUUCUUGCAAAACCAAUGCUCGUACUGUGUCCACAAAAUUUAGCAACACUAAAUUUAAAUUUUAACUUUUUAAACCUACAACAUAAAUUUUAUUGUAAGCAUUAUGAUCAAAUCACAACUAUGUUGUAUAUUUUUCUUGUUUUCUUACAAGGACAUGGUAUUACCAUAUCAAAAUUUUCCUC